rnacentral:rRNA from 1 species
AGCAGCCGCGGUAAUUCCAGCUCCAAUAGCGUAUAUUAAAGUUGUUGCAGUUAAAAAGCUCGUAGUUGAAUUUCGGGGUUAGUAGGUUGGUCAUGCCUCUGGUAUGUACUGGUCUCACUGAUUCCUCCUUCCUGAUGAGCCGUAAUGCCAUUAAUUUGGUGUUGCGGGGAAUUUGGACUGUUACUUUGAAAAAAUUAGAGUGUUUAAAGCAAGCUAACGCUUGAAUACAUUAGCAUGGAAUAAUGAAAUAGGACGUUCGAUCCUAUUUUGUUGGUUUCUAGGAUUGACGUAAUGAUUAAUAGGGAUAGUUGGGGGCAUUAGUGUUCAAUUGUCAGAGGUGAAAAUUCUUGGAUUUAUUGAAGACUAACUACUGCGAAAGCAUUUGCCAAGGAUGUUUUCAUUAAUCAAGAACGAAAGUUAGGGGAUCGAAGACGAUCAGAUACCGUCCUUAUCUUAAACCAUAAACUAUGCCGACUAGGGAUCGGAUGAUGUUAAUUUUUUAAUGACUCAUUCGGCGCCUUACG